CUCGCUCCGGGCUGCUCCGGCCUCCCGACUGCCAGGUGACGGUCUGGCGGCGCUCCCGCUGCCCCGCUCGCGCUGCCACCGGCGCCGCCGCGGGAGCCGUAGAGACGACGCCGGGGACGCCGGAAGCCGGGAAAUGAUCCCCAGUGCUGUCAGUCUCAUCCAUUCUCUACACAUAUGUGGGAUGGUGUAGGACCCAGUGGCCUUUGAAGAUGUGGCUGUGAAGUUCACUCUGGAGGAGUGGACUCUGCUGAAUCCUUUGCAGAAGAAACUCUGCAGAGAUGUGAUGCAGGAAACCUUCAGGAACCUGGCCUCAGUGGGAAAAAAAAUGGGAAUAUCGUGACAUUGAAGAUCAAUCCAAAAACCAGGGGAGAAAUUUAAGAAGUUCUAUGGGAGAGAGAUUCUGUGAAAGUAAAGAAGGUAGUGUGGAGAAACCAUCAGCCAGAUUCUAAAUCUUAAUCUAAACAAGAAACCUCCUGUUGCAGUAAAAUCAUGCGAAUGCAGUGUGUGUGGAAAAGUCUUCGUGUGUCAUUCGUCCCUUAAUAGGCACCUCAGAUUUCACACCCAACACAAACCAUCUGAGCUGUCGCUGGAGGAGAAGAGGAAGCUUUUCUUCUUCCUGUUGGGUCUGCAGUCAUUCUAGGACAUAAGAGCUCCCUCUUCUGGCCUCCUGACCACAUUUUAGAUGAGUUUUCUGUUUACUAAUUUUCACAAUUAUAAAUAUAUUGUCUUUAUCACUGCCUCAUUCUUAAAGUGGACCUGUGGAUUAUGGAUUUAUACUUCAUAGUUUUGCAAAUAAACAUUGA